CUGUGUCACUGCCUAGUGCUGAGCAAUCUUGAAAAGAAUAGACCUGGUUUGUGAAUUAUGGCCUGUACUUCACUUUUGGUCACUCUUCUAGCAUUGUGCUCAGGGGCCAUUUCCCAGGCUGUUGUGACUCAGGAAUCUGCACUCACCACAUCACCUGGUGGGACAGUCACCCUCACUUGUCGCUCAAGUACUGGGGCUGUUACAACCAGUAACUAUGCCAGCUGGGUCCAAGAAAAACCAGAUCAUUUAUUCACUGCUAUAAUAGGUGGUACCAACAACCCAGCUCCAGGUGCUCCUGCCAGAUUCUCAGGCUCCCUGAUUGGAGACAGGGCUGCCCUUACCAUCACAGGGGCACUGUUUGAGGAUGAAGCUAUGUAUUUCUGUGCUCUCUGGUACAGCAACCAUUGGGUGUUCGGUGGAGGAACCAGAUUGUCUGUCCUAGGCCAGCCCAAGUCUACGCCCUCAGUCAAUCUAUUCCCACCUUCCCCUGAAGAGCUCAAGACUAACAAGGCCACACUGGUGUGUAUGGUCACUGGAUUCUACCCAGAAUCUCUGACAGUGGACUGGCAGGCAGAUGGUACACCUGUCACUCAGGGUGUGGAGACUACCCAGCCUUCCAAACAGAGCGACAACAAGUACAUGGCUAGCAGCUACCUGUCCUUGACAGCAAGAGAGUGGGAAGCUCAUAACAAUUUCAUCUGCCAAGUCACUCAUGAAGGGAACACUGUGGAGAAGAGUUUGUCCCGUGCUGAGUGUUCCUAGGUCAUCUGACCUUCAUCUCACCCACAGAGGCUGAGAUCAGAAACGUGCCAAAGUAUACCCUUAGUGCUUUUGCCUACCAUAGCCCUUCUCCCUACCCUCAAAAUACACAAUAAAAUGUUCAUUCACAACCUGUAA